rnacentral:rRNA from 1 species
AACGAACGCUGGCGGCAUGCCUAACACAUGCAAGUCGAACGAGACCUUCGGGUCUAGUGCGCACGGGUGCGUAACGCGUGGGAACCUGCCCUUAGGUUCGGAAUAACUCCCCGAAAGGGGUGCUAAUACCGGAUAAUGUCUUCGGACCAAAGAUUUAUCGCCUUUGGAUGGGCCCGCGUUGGAUUAGCUAGUUGGUAGGGUAAAAGCCUACCAAGGCGACGAUCCAUAGCUGGUCUGAGAGGAUGAUCAGCCACACUGGGACUGAGACACGGCCCAGACUCCUACGGGAGGCAGCAGUGGGGAAUAUUGGACAAUGGGCGAAAGCCUGAUCCAGCAAUGCCGCGUGAGUGAUGAAGGCCUUAGGGUUGUAAAGCUCUUUUACCCGGGAUGAUAAUGACAGUACCGGGAGAAUAAGCUCCGGCUAACUCCGUG